UACAGAGGGUGCGAGCGUUGUUCGGAAUUAUUGGGCGUAAAGGGCGCGUAGGCGGUGCGGUAAGUCACCUGUGAAAUCUCCUGGCUCAACUGGGAGCUUGCAGGCGAAACUGCCGUGCUGGAGUGUGGGAGAGGUGCGUGGAAUUCCUGGUGUAGCGGUGAAAUGCGUAGAUAUCAGGAGGAACACCGGUGGCGAAGGCGGGUCUCUGGGCAAUUCCUGACGCUGAGGCGCGAAAGCGUGGGUAGCAAACAGG
rnacentral:rRNA from 1 species